GGCAUCUGACGUUCCUCUUGGACUGUUUUUUCACUAGGAGGAAAAUGGACCAUUGAUUAGCAAAUGCUGAUUCGGAAUACCAUGUGAAGGGGUUCUUUCCUAAAAAAGAUCAAGAUAUUUGUUUCCUGUGCUUCUGUUAACUCGUGACUUUUGUCUUCUACGUUCCAGUGCUUUCUUCUGGUUGGUGUCUCUCCUGCUUUCGUCCAUGUUUUGGUUCCUAGUGAGAGUCAUUACUAACAACAGAGAUGAAUCAGUACAGAAUUAUCUGCUCAUCUUCGGAGCGUUGCUCUCUGUCUGUAUCCAAGAGCUGUUCAGGCUCGCAUAUUAUAAGCUGUUAAAGUAAGUUAAAUGUUUGUUUUAUUUUCCCAGUUAGACUUGAAUUAUGAUUUGGUGGUUGUUACAUUUCUAGCCUGAAAAUUGUAUUUAAAUUUAUGACCUGGCUUGCCUGCCUGCCUGCCUGUCCGCCCGCCCGCCCUCCCACCCUCCUGCUCCCCUGCUCCCCUGCUCCCCUGCUCCCUUGCCUUUCCCUCCUUCUCCUUCCUCCCAAAAGUGUUUCUUGAGAAUUUUCCCAGAUACUUUGUCAGAACUGGAGGUGCAAAGGUAAAACAGAAGCUCUGGUGGUGCACACCUUAAUCCCCAGAGGCAGGCAGAGAUCUGUGAGUUUGAGGCCAGUCUGGUUUACAAAGUGAGUUCCUUGACAUCCACAGAGUAUAGUGAAGCCUCUCUUAAAAAAAAAAAAAAAAAAAAAAAAAAAAACAGAGAGUGGGAGAGACUGUCACGAGGACUGGCUUGUGUGUGUGUGUGUGUGUGUGUGUGUGUGUGAGAUGAGCUUUCAUUUGGGACUAGGAUAUGAUCAGCUGAAGGACCCAUGAGGACGUCACAUGAAACCAGUAAUUUGAGUCAGAGCUUGGACUUGGAGCCCUAGGUUCUUAUGUUCUUUCAGGAAGUUAUGAGUUUAGCCUUGCUUCUGUGGUAAGGUCAGUGGAGUAACAAAUGUUUUCGUUCCUGCCACUCAGACUCUCCACGAAGUUCAUAGAUAAAACCUAAAGUAAGUCUCAGCAACACCCCCUGGGACAGGCUUCUGGUCAUCUCCCUUCCUAACAUGUUGUUAUUCUGGAUUUUUAAAAACAUCUUGCUUUUAGCAGUAGAUAUUGAGUUCCCUUUUCAUAAUGAGGCAAUUUAAGUUACAAAUUGAAAACCAGGAAGCCAUUUCUUAGUAGCAAAAAAAGCAUAGCUUUGGAGUACCUGGCAAGAUGAUGGUUCAGUGGGUAAACGUGCUUGCCACCAAGCCUGAUGACCCGAGAUCAAGCCCCGGCACCCAUUUAAAGGUAGAAAAAAAUGAAAGGACUUCAAGUUGUCUCUUGACCGUCACAUGUAUACCAUGGCAUUUAUGUGAUCAGGAGUAUGCACAU
rnacentral:lncRNA from 1 species